CUCAUUGUAUUGGUCAGUCUGAGGAUAUAACAGAGACAUGUGUUACAGACAGAAUCAUAAUAUUUUAAACAUUAGCUCAUCUUACCACUUCAAGACACAAAUGAAGAGCCACAACUCCAUAAGGUGUUCCCAUUGGGACAGCAAUUGUAAAAACUGCAAAAUAUCUCCUGUGCACAGACCUCUGUUUUAAAGAACAAGGGAUUCGCCUUAGCACACAGCCCAGCCGACUCCCUGAGCUGCUGUUAAGCAGGUGAGGCACUCCCAGAUGGUGAUAGCUUUGCCUUGGAACCUCCCUGAAAGAUCUUCCGCUCGGGGCUCCCAGAUCCCAAUGACCACACGAGACCACGCACCUUGCAAUCCUGCCUUGAACACUUGAAUGAGAUCCCAUGCUACGGAACUUGAGCAAUAUUUUCACAAAUCAGGCUGAAAUGGCAAAAUGAAUAUAAU